rnacentral:rRNA from 1 species
UACGGGGGGGGGCAAGCGUUGUUCGGAAUUACUGGGCGUAAAGGGCUCGUAGGCGGCCAACUAAGUCAGACGUGAAAUCCCUCGGCUUAACCGGGGAACUGCGUCUGAUACUGGAUGGCUUGAGGUUGGGAGAGGGAUGCGGAAUUCCAGGUGUAGCGGUGAAAUGCGUAGAUAUCUGGAGGAACACCGGUGGCGAAGGCGGCAUCCUGGACCAAUUCUGACGCUGAGGUGCGAAAGCGUGGGGGAGCAAACAGG